rnacentral:rRNA from 1 species
GACGCACGCUGGCGGCGUGCCUAAUACAUGCACGUCGAACGCAGUGGGGACGGGUGAGUAACACGUGGGUAACCUCCCAUCAGAGGGGAUCACCCUUGGAAACAGGUGCUAAACCGAUACUGAUGGAUGGACCCGCGGUGCAUUAGCUAGUUGGUGAGGUAACGGCGCACCAAGGCCACGCUGCAUAGCCGACAUGAGAGGGUGAUCGGCCACACUGGGACGGAGACACGGCCCAGAAGCGUACGUGAGGAAGAAGUAGGGAAUCGGCGGCAAUGGACGAAAGUCUGACCGAGCAACGCCGCGUGAGUGAAGAAGGUGUUCGGAUCGUAAAACUCUGUUGUUAGAGAAGCGGUAUCUAACCAGAAAGCCACGGCUAACGACGGGCCAGCAGCCGCGGUAAUAC